AGAGUUUGAUCCUGGCUCAGAUCAACGCUGGCGGCGCGCCUAACACAUGCAAGUCGAGCGAGAAAGCAGGAGCAAUCUUGUGAGUAAAGCGGCGUACGGGUGAGUAACACGUGGAUCAUCUACCUCUUUGUGGGGGAUAACUCUGGGAAACCGGAGCUAAUACCGCAUAAGUCCGAGAGGAGAAAGCAGCAAUGCGCAGAGAGAGGAGUCCGCGGCCGAUUAGCUAGUUGGUAGGGUAAAAGCCUACCAAGGCUGAGAUCGGUAGCCGGCCUGAGAGGGCACACGGCCACACUGGCACUGAAACACGGGCCAGACUCCUACGGGAGGCAGCAGUGGGGAAUCUUGCACAAUGGGGGCAACCCUGAUGCAGCGACGCCGCGUGAGCGAUGAAGCCCUUCGGGGUGUAAAGCUCUUUCGGCAGGGAAGAUUAUGACGGUACCUGCAGAAGCAGCUGCGGCUAACUACGUGCCAGCAGCCGCGGUAAUACGUAGGCAGCAAGCGUUGUUCGGAGUUACUGGGCGUAAAGGGUGUGUAGGCGGUUCCCUAAGUUUGGUGUGAAAUCUCCCGGCUCAACUGGGAGGGUGCGCCGAAAACUGGGGGGCUAGAGUACUGGAUGGGAGAGUGGAAUUCCUGGUGUAGCGGUGAAAUGCGUAGAUAUCAGGAGGAACACCUGUGGUGUAGACGGCUCUCUGGACAGUAACUGACGCUGAGACACGAAAGCGUGGGUAGCAAACAGGAUUAGAUACCCUAGUAGUCC
rnacentral:rRNA from 1 species